rnacentral:rRNA from 1 species
UACAGAGGUCCCGAGCGUUGUUCGGAUUCACUGGGCGUAAAGGGUGCGCAGGUGGGUUGGCAAGUUUGAUGUGAAAGCCCCGGGCUUAACCCGGGAAUGGCAUUGAAUACUGCUGAUCUGGGAGGAUCGGAGGGGGGACUGGAAUUCUUGGUGUAGCAGUGAAAUGCGUAGAUAUCAAGAGGAACACCAGUGGCGAAGGCGAGUCCCUGGACGAUACCUGACACUGAGGCACGAAAGCCAAGGGAGCAAACAGG